rnacentral:lncRNA from 1 species
AAGUUACAGUUGCCUCUUUCAGAGAAACUACUCUAUGUGGCUUUAAACUCUCUGGACAAAACAGAGUAAUGGCUGCUCAGUCCACAAGAGUGAAAUCCCCAGUGAACUUCAAGGAAGGGCUCAUUCUGCAGAUGAUCCCCAUUUCCAAGAUUAAGAAGACUAUCAUAACCUGAACUUUUUUUUUUUUUUCUGGUGCACAUUUGAAUGUGAGGUGUUGGACACCAUGUAAGGUGUUGGACAAACCAUAAUGACAACAAAGAACAGUCAUAGAGGGGAAUCGUGUUUUACAAUAGAGAUGGAAGGCAGCUUUCCAGAGAACAAAGAAAUCAACAUCUUCGAAUAUUUUCUCCAGCCUGAAACAGCUGAAGAAAGACCUCUCUUCUGCACAAUUACCACCGGCAUAAGAAGCAGCCUCCAGCAGUCUGUCGCUAUCACUCCCUCUUAUAGGCAUCGUCUCACAAUCUCUUCAAAAGAAUCAAUAUGACUGCACAGAGGGGCAAGUCCUGUCCAUCCUUCACAUCUCCAGCUCCCACCUAGUCUUUUGUGUCAGCAGCCAGCAUUUAUGCAGUUGCUUCAGAAAUCAGAUUGUAAUAUUGAUCCACCUGAGAAUAUUUCACUUGAAAUUUUUGCAGCUGGAUUAGUUUUAACCUAAUGGUCAUGGCUUUAUGACCAACAGUGGCCUUAGUGGCAAACCAGCAUAAUGGGAAGAAUCUGACUUCUGUAAGUGUGGAGCCUGCUCCAGUGAUGUUUGAUUAACACUGUUGAAAACUUUGCUUAAUUAAACAGAAAAAAAAAAAUCUUAUUUGGUUCAACAAGGAUAUAGACAUCAGACUAGAUUUAGAUGUCUAACAACUGUUUGCAUCAACAUUAUUUCCUUGUGAUGAAGUUGCGCCUUAAAAGCAGUUUACAGUGUGUUUUCUUACAAUAGACAAGACUGUGAUAUUGCUGUCAUAUUUCAUGCAUGAAAGCAUUAUGUUUCUUUUUGCUAUUCUUACAUCAGAAACGGUUCCAAUUUUUAAUGUUUAAAACUGUUAUUUAAAUAUAAAAUGUUAAUGAGAACUACAGAAAACUCACAUUAAAGUGCACUUCUUCUAAAAGAUGACACAUUUUUCCAUGAGAAGAACCAGAACCUGUUUUUUUGCAUCUAAAAUAAUUACAAACAACAACAACAACAAAAAACGUAGUAUUUUUCAAUUCAUAUAAUUUUUUCUCAAAUUACAU